ACGGCCUACCAAGUCGACGAUCCAUAGCCGGACUGAGAGGUUGAACGGCCACAUUGGGACUGAGACACGGCCCAGACUCCUACGGGAGGCAGCAGUGGGGAAUAUUGCACAAUGGGGGAAACCCUGAUGCAGCAACGCCGCGUGAAGGAAGACGGUUUUCGGAUUGUAAACUUCUGUUCUUAGUGAAGAUAGUGACCGGUAGCUAAGGAGCAAGCCACGGCUAACUAC
rnacentral:rRNA from 1 species